AGAACCGUUGCCGCCUCCUGCAAGGACGACCCAGACGCCGUCGCCCAGAAUUGGAGCCUUUGAAGGAUUUGAAUGGAGCAUAUGUAUGCAUGCUACGGUUCAUCUUAGAAUUGGAGCCUUUGAAGGAUUUGAAUGGAGCAUAUGUAUGCAUGCUACGGUUCAUCUUAGGUGAGUGCGAAUCUUCAGCAUCUGUCUCAUGUCGCUUCUGGGAAGAUGCUUUUAAUUGUUUUAUUAUCGAC